CGGCCAGUGGCGGAACGGUCAAAACGCAUCUCCAUAUUAAUGAGACAGACGCGGGAUCGAAUCCUGUCUAAACGG
rnacentral:tRNA from 1 species